UUGUUUGAGGCGUAUGCGCUCUCCCCCUCUGUUGAAGUUGCCGCGGGGCCGGCGUGUUCUUUCGCUGCCUUGCGUGACACGCGGCGCGCGCUUGGAUUGCGCGCUCGUUUGUGACAUGGUGUGAAGCUGGUUUUUUGCCUCAAUUAUCUGGAUGCAGUUCCGAGGGCUGCCGGGAGCCAGCCGGUGCCUGCCCAGCCAGAGGCCAAGACUGGACGGCCUGCCGGUCCAGCUGUGCAGCCGUCGCAGUUGCCGCGCUCACGACUGAGGCCACCCACCAGUCGAGUGCCGAGGGCUUCCGGUCGCCAGCCGCUGCCUGCCCAGCCAGAGGCCAAGACUGCACGGCCUGCGAGUCCAGCUGUGCAGCCGCCGCCGUUGCCCCGCUCACGACUUAGGCCACCCACCGGUCGAGGUGCGAGGCGGUUGGUGGUUGCUGUUCCUAGGGCUGCAGGGAGCCAGCCGGUGUCUGCGCAGCCAGGGGCCAUGGCUGCUGUGCCUGCGGAUCCAUCUGUGACGCCCUCGCAGUUGCCCCGCUCAAAACUGA